UGUGUAGGCGGUGCCUUAAGUUCGGUGUGAAAUCUCCCGGCUCAACUGGGAGGGUGCGCCGGAAACUGGGGUGCUCGAACGUGGGAGAGGAAAGCGGAAUUCCUGGUGUAGCGGUGAAAUGCGUAGAUAUCAGGAGGAACACCUGUGGUGUAGACGGCUUUCUGGACCAUUGUUGACGCUGAGACACGAAAGCGUGGGUAGCAAACAGGAUUAGAUACCCUGGUAGUCCACGCCCUAAACGAUGCAUACUUGGUGUCGGCCAUUCAGUUGGUCGGUGCCGGAGCUAACGCGUUAAGUAUGCCGCCUGGGGAGUACGGUCGCAAGGCUGAA
rnacentral:rRNA from 1 species